UCACUAUUUGUAAAAAUUAUUAUUAUGUAAAAAAAAACUGAUACACAUUGAUAUCGUUUUUCUCUUCAUAUUAUUAUUUUUAUCGAAUCGAAAUUUUUGACAAGCGAGCGAAAAUUUAAUCGAAAAAUAACUAGACGCCUGUAACAUCGACAAAUGGUAAUCGCGAUAUAUUAAUAAUAGUGGAAGAAGUACAGAGAAGGAUGUAACGAUAACGUAUACGUUUCACGCAGGAUAGGUUAGGUUAUAAUUGGGCAUUACGUGUUAAAAAAAAAAAAAAAAAAAAACCGUUAACUAUUGAACGAAUGAAAAAAAUCAAUAACGAAAAAAAAAGAAGUGAGUCAUUGUGACGUGUACGUCGCGUUAUAUUAUAUAAUUGUUGAUAAUGGAAACUAUUGUAAUUGAGACUUUGAGGAUACUCUAUUAAGGCAACACGUGGGACGAACGAGGGAAACGCUCGGCCGUGCUUAACGACGAGAUCGAUUUUAAUAGUGGCAUAAAAUUUACAUUUCGGUCGAACGAUCGACAAAAUUACCAAGCUUUUGAACCAGUUUCCCUGGAAUAAAGUCGAACGCAACUGAAAAUGAAGGAUUUCCAAUCAAAGUCGCUUCGACGUCUAUUAAUUCGUCUCGGAAGAGAAGUAUCGUGGUCGGACGUCUGAGCGGUGGAUCACGGAUAAAUUGGAAAACAAGGCCGCGAGGACAGUUUGUCAGAGCUGUGCUAUUCAAUCCCAUUCGGAAACAGCGGUGCGAACUAGGCGAACGGUGAAAUCCCAUCGAAAUUACUUGUUCUCAAGAGCCGAAGAAUCGAGUAACGUGCGUUCAAUAAGAAGAAUCAUUCUUGAAAAUAUCGAGAAAACCGUCUUAACAUUAUCCGCAUGUGUCGGUCGUAAAAUUAUUCGCAUCGAGAAAGUGUGUAUUGUGUUUGUAUUGUGUAAUAUUUUGGACGUAAAUUAUAUUUUUUCCUGCUGUUUUGAUUUUCAUAUCGAAUUAAACGUAUUAAUUAAAUGUCAAGGAGAUCUCGCAAGUUUAAUCUAGCGUUGGACGGUGUAUGGAACAUCGUGAAGUGGUGUAGUUAUGCAAAUCGCGGGAUAUCCAACGCCUGUUGUGACUUGCUGUUUGCAUUUAAACGUAGCUAUUUAGACAAUCUUUGUUCGUUUUAAUGCAGUGACUACUAUUUCUAUACAUUUUGGAAAUCUUUUCAGAGGACGGAUUUUAUUUCAGCACAAAUUCAUUUGAUAAAUUUGAUAAUCGUUAUAAUUUAUAAUUUAUAAUUGUAAUUACGUAUAUCGUUACGAUAUUGCAAGGAAUUUACGAAAAAAGGGUUAUCGAGCGUGGAAAUAAAAUAUAUGAAGUUCGAUCUUUCAAAGAUACCUACGUUAUAAUUUUAUCGAUCGAAAAACAUAAAUAUAAGUGAGAAACAAGGAGAAGAAUAGACAAGACACAAAUAAGUAAAUAUCUCAACAUCUUGUAGAGACAAGACAAGAGUGCAUAGAUUGAUGACAUUUAUAAGAAUAAGUCGGUACUUUACUUUGCCAGGAUGAAAUUAAAUUCAACCAAGAUAAAUGGGAGCGCUAAGCGUGCUUCGCUUCGGUGAACAUGUGAAAUGUAAAUUAGUUUGAAUUAAGGUGGAGUUCACUGGUCAGGCUUCUAUUAAAUGUAUAAAUACGCGUGGACGGUUUCCAGCGGCUGCGAUUCGUGUUUCGUGUCGCGUUACCAGCUGCGACACUGUUUCUAAUUAAAUGAUACGCUCUUUUAACAAA
rnacentral:lncRNA from 1 species